CAGUCGUACCUGCGGACAAUCAGCUUUUUGAGUGUGAUUAUGUGGAUUGUGAGGAGUUUAAUCACCCUCAAUGUCUUACGUAUUCGUGCUCUUGGGUGUACUUGUCCGUGUGGUGGGUUAACAUCAAUUUCGGUCGUCAUAAAAUGAUUGGGAGAAUGUAGCUUUGGUCUCGUAUCGAAGUGUUAUA
rnacentral:rRNA from 1 species